UGGAGUCCACCUGGGGUAAAUUCAGUUGACUGGACAUGAUUUGGAAAGGUACACACCUGUCUACAUAUAAGGUCCCACAGUUGACAGUACAUGUCAGAGCACAAACCAAGCAUGAAGUCAAGGGAAUUGUCUUUAGACCUCCAAGACACGAUUUGCUCGCAGCAGUAAUCUCA